GAUGAACGCUGGCGGCGUGCCUAAUACAUGCAAGUCGAGCGAACGGACGAGAAGCUUGCUUCUCUGAUGUUAGUGGCGGACGGGUGAGUAACACGUGGAUAACUUACCUAUAAGACUGGGAUAACUUCGGGAAACCGGAGCUAAUACCGGAUAAUAUUUUGAACCGCAUGGUUCAAAAGUGAAAGACGGUCUUGCUGUCACUUAUAGAUGGAUCCGCGCUGCAUUAGCUAGUUGGUAAGGUAACGGCUUACCAAGGCAACGAUGCAUAGCCGACCUGAGAGGGUGAUCGGCCACACUGGAACUGAGACACGGUCCAGACUCCUACGGGAGGCAGCAGUAGGGAAUCUUCCGCAAUGGGCGAAAGCCUGACGGAGCAACGCCGCGUGAGUGAUGAAGGUCUUCGGAUCGUAAAACUCUGUUAUUAGGGAAGAACAUAUGUGUAAGUAACUGUGCACAUCUUGACGGUACCUAAUCAGAAAGCCACGGCUAACUACGUG
rnacentral:rRNA from 1 species